CCUACGGGUGGCAGCAGUGGGGAAUAUUGGGCAAUGGGCGCAAGCCUGACCCAGCAACGCCGCGUGAAGGAAGAAGGCCCGCGGGUUGUAAACUUCUUUUAUCAAGGACGAAACAAAUGACGGUACUGGAUGAAUAAGCCCCGGCUAACUACGUGACAGCAGCCGCGGUAAUACGUCGGCGGCAAGCGUUAUCCGGAUUUUCUGGGUGGAAGGGGGGUGUAGGCGGGACUGCAAGUCAGAUGUGAAAACCAUGGGCUCAACCCAUGGCCUGCAUUUGAAACUGUAGUUCUUGAGUGUUGGAGUGGCAGGCGGAAGUCCGGGUGUAGCGGUGAAAUGCGUAGAUAUACGGAGGAACACCAGUGGAGAAGGCGGCCUGCUGGACAAUAACUGACGCUGAGGCGCGAAAGCGUGGGGCGCAAACAGGAUUAGAUACCCUUGUAGUC
rnacentral:rRNA from 1 species